rnacentral:rRNA from 1 species
UACGUAGGCAGCAAGCGUUGUUCGGAAUUACUGGGCGUAAAGAGUGUGUAGGCGGUGUUUCUAAGUUUGUCGUGAAAUCUCCCGGCUUAACUGGGAGGGUGCGGCGAAAACUGGAAUGCUAGAGGAUGGGAGAGGUAAGCGGAAUUCCUGGUGUAGCGGUGAAAUGCGUAGAUAUCAGGAGGAACACCUGUGGUGUAGACGCUUACUGGAC